AUGCCUGCUAGCCUUAGGAUGAUC
rnacentral:misc_RNA from 1 species